CCUACGGGUGGCAGCAGUGGGGAAUAUUGGACAACGGGGGGAACCCUGAUCCAGCCAUGCCGCGUGUGUGAAGAAGGCCCUCGGGUUGUAAAGCACUUUCAGUGAGGAAGAACGCCUGGUGGUUAAUACCCAUCAGGAAAGACAUCACUCACAGAAGAAGCACCGGCUAACUCCGUGCCAGCAGCCGCGGUAAUACGGAGGGUGCGAGCGUUAAUCGGAAUUACUGGGCGUAAAGCGCGCGUAGGUGGCUUGAUAAGCCGGUUGUGAAAGCCCCGGGCUCAACCUGGGAACGGCAUCCGGAACUGUCAAGCUAGAGUGCAGGAGAGGAAGGUAGAAUUCCCGGUGUAGCGGUGAAAUGCGUAGAGAUCGGGAGGAAUACCAGUGGCGAAGGCGGCCUUCUGGACUGACACUGACACUGAGGUGCGAAAGCGUGGGUAGCAAACAGGAUUAGAUACCCUGGUAGUC
rnacentral:rRNA from 1 species